rnacentral:rRNA from 1 species
UCCGGCGGCGAUGGCUGGGCGGCCCACCUGUUCCCAUCCCGAACACAGAAGUUAAGCGCCCAUACGCCGAAAGUACUUGGCUGGAGACGGCCCGGGAGGUUAGGGAGCUGCCGGUU